CGCCAGGGCGCACAGCCGCCUCCCAAGCUUUCCAGUGGCUUGCUUUGGGCACGCGUGUUAUUGACGUACUGAUGAAGCCUGUUUUUCUCAUGUAAUGCACAGUGCCGGUCUGUAGAUCAGAAGAGCCUGGGCUUUGCUGAGCAGACUGUCCCAGUAGUGCUCUCCGAGAAACCUUCCCUGUCUGCUUGGCAGUUGGGUUAGCUGGUGUCUGUGUUCCUUGCUUGGUGCUGGGCGGAGAUGGAGGGGGGAGUCAGACAUGUUAAGAGUUGGCUCAGCAGCAGCAGAUUUCCUGGUCCUGGCGUCAGGUGGGAUUUGGAUUCAGGAGGCAAAUGCAGCAUUCCGGGGCCUCGGAACGGGUGAAGACUGGCCCUGUUUCCUAGGUUAUGUGCUUGGGCUCUGGACAGGAGCUGACCUCAGUUCUUAUGGUGCUGCUUCCCUUGAUGGCUAGUGCACGGAGCAACACUUGUGUCGAGUGUGAAGGAAGGCCACGUCCUAGCUGCAGGUAUUGCCUCCUGUGCUUUCCUAAUUCUUCUGGAAACUUUGAAGAAUAUGUAAACCUGUAUGAACUGCACCCAAAGGUUCAUUGUACCUGUAGUUAUGCUGUGAGCUUCCAUGGUUUGUACAGUAAAGACUUCACUGAAACGAUAUGCUUGUUCAAAAGUGAUAGAUUUGACAAAGUCUGUGUGCUGGCAAAGAGUUUGUUGGACUGACAGCGGACUGUGCCUUGAAACGGGGGCUGGAUUUCAGAUUUUAGAGUGCAUUUGCAAAAGUAAAUUUGGACCACUUCUACCCAAUGUAUUGUUAUUUCUUUAUGUAUCUGAACCCGGAAUUUUCUGUACCUUUGAAGCCUGAAGGUCUGUGUUUCACAUGCCCUGUUCUCUGGUUUUGCACUAUGGUAAUGCAUAAUUGUGCCUUAUUACCUUGAUUACAGAUUUGUAUGCAUAAUCCCAAUAAAACGUGCUUUGUUAUCUGAACUGUA